UACGUAGGGGGCAAGCGUUGUCCGGAGUUACUGGGCGUAAAGCGCGCGCAGGUGGUUCCCUAAGCCCGGCGUGAAAGCCCCCGGCUCAACCGGGGAGGGUCGUCGGGGACUGGUGAACUUGAGGGCGGCAGGGGCUGGUGGAAUCCCCGGUGUAGUGGUGAAAUGCGUAGAGAUCGGGGGGAACACCCGUGGCGAAGGCGGCCAGCUGGGCCGACCCUGACACUGAGGCGCGAAGGCGUGGGGAGCGAACAGG
rnacentral:rRNA from 1 species